rnacentral:rRNA from 1 species
UACAGAGGGGGCAAGCGUUGUUCGGAAUCACUGGGCGUAAAGGGCGCGUAGGCGGCCGAUCAAGUCGGGGGUGAAAGCCUGUGGCUCAACCACAGAAUUGCCUUCGAUACUGUUUGGCUUGAGACCGGAAGAGGUAAGUGGAACUGCGAGUGUAGAGGUGAAAUUCGUAGAUAUUCGCAAGAACACCAGUGGCGAAGGCGGCUUACUGGUCCGGUUCUGACGCUGAGGCGCGAAAGCGUGGGGAGCAAACAGG